CCUUUCCAGGUUGUUGAUGUGCCAGAGUUUGCCUGGCAGAGACCAUCAGAGAUUCAGAACUUGAGGACUGACUCCUACCCGUUGGUCAAGAAAGUCUGCUCCCCAUAAGACCCAGACUUCCUGGACCUCCCAAGUCCACAAGAACACAAAGCAAAUAAAAACUCCUGACCUUCUGCCCAGAAUCCUCAGGUUACAGAUUUCCCUUGUGGCUUCCCUUGUUCUGCCUCCUCCGUGACACGUGGCCUGCCUCUGAAGCAGGAGUUUAAACUCAUUCCAGGAUAUUUCAGCUUCCUCUCCCAGCUGGUUUCUAGGGCAUGGCAGGGAUGACCCUGCUUCCAAACACUUUCUCCACUGACACAGGAGUUUGCCCUUCUCUUCUGUACCAUUUUCCUGAAGAACUGGAAGACUAAGAGCAAGAUCCUCGGAACACGUAACAGUGUAGACAAAGCAGGACUUACUUCAUGAGGACAUGGCCACCAAUAUGCAGACAGAGCACCCCAAAUCUUUAAGAAAUACCUUUCCAACAGUGAGAGACAUGGAUCUAGAUGAACGAGGAACCCCAUCUUCUGCACAGAAACAAAGACAAAGAACAGUCUUAGACUAUAUUUUCCACAUACUGCAUCAUUACUUCUGUUGCCUUUGACAUUCGCUUUUCCUAAGGAAGAAAAGAAGGAAAUACCCAGGUAACCUCCACACAUCUCCAAGAAAUGAUUUGCCUCUAUAUGUAUGCUCCAUGUCAGGGCUAAAUCUGGAGUUGCUGCUCUUAAGGAAGUAUUGGUGCCUCCAUGACUGAAAAUUCCUAAGAUAGUUAGAAUAAAAUGCCAAUUCAUAUGCAUAUAUUAUAAUAAUUUAUUUUGUCAUAUAUUCAUAUACCCUGCCUGUGUGCCCAUCUGAUUGCUUAUGUGGUAUACCACUUUUGUUUUCAAACCCUCAAAGGUCUUAGUCCCUGGCAUCAACCUGGUUAUUUUAGAAAGCAGAGGGAACAUUCUUGAAUCUGGGAGGGUGUUGAUGUGUUCUUAUUUAUACUCACUCUGUUCUCAUACUCUGUAAUUGACUCAGCUAUUGCCAAAGGCAGGUGACUGAAUUAGUUUUUUGACCCAGAAAAGUUUUCUUAUUUGUGCUGCACUGAUUUGAAAUUAGUUUCUUGUGAUACAGCUGUAGUUAUGAAUAAAAUAUAUGCUCUUCUUGUACAUAUGUUAAAUAGCUUAAUGGGAAACCUUCUGUUGGAAUGGCAUUUCCUUGGCUGCCGUGCUGUGUUUGUUACCUGGCACUACAACAGACGUCUUUAGUCUGUCAAAAUGGCAAAUAAAACACAGAGGGUGACUAUAACCUCUGCCCCAAGCUGGAAAAGAGUGAACCUGUGGAUCCAGGAUAGAGUUAAACACCAGGAUGUCCUCACCUGACGAACAGCUCCGACCAUCUCAGCGCGGCUCGAGAGCCUGGCAGCCAAACGCCGCAGCACCGCGAUGUCCUCCAGGAGCUUCUGGUAGGCUUCCCUGUGCUCAUAGUGGUGCCACAGGUGAGCUGAAGACUGAAGCAAAAAUAGAGCAGCUUUAUCAGUAUGUUUUUAGUUCAAAUGGAGUGGCCAGAGCCUCAAAAUGUGCCAGCAGUGGCACCACAGCCAGCCCGGAGUGCUGCUGCCCUGUCUGAGCACGAUGCUUCACUGCAAACUGCAGGAACACAGUCUGAGGAGUUAGAGAGGACUUAGCACAUCUGUAAUAUUUUCCCUUUCUGAAAUCCAGGUGAAACAUGCCCUGCUACCUGUGAAUUCUACAAAUGCUAAGCUCAUUUCAACUAGCACUUAAAAAUGAUCACUGAGGGACAAAGGACAUUUUCAUUUUCUGGGCACAAUGUAUUAAGAAGGCCAGUGUGUUCUUUCAGUUCCAUGAUACUUCACUUAUUUGGAAAAUUAAACAUUAUAGUCUCAAGAAUUGCAAUGCUACUUUGAUAGUAGAUUGCAACCAAAAUUUGACUGCAAGAACCAAAAUGGCAUAAGGGAAUAUGUUUAAGAAAAAUCAUGCACAGAAUUUGAGAUUUUCCUUUUUUUCUUGACAACUGUAACCUCCUUAUUUUCUCCAAAAAAACCCUGAAAUUCAUGUAGAUCAGCUUUCUCUUGAAAUUAGGUUUUUGAAUAAGACAUCAAUUAUCACAAGACUGAUUAAAAAAUCAGAAAAACUGGUAAAACUGUCACUGAGCCAUAAAACACAUGCCUGUCCUACAGAAAUGAAGAUAACCUCUCAAUGAGAUUGGAACAAGUCUAGGUUUAGUAUGAUAAGAGAUUUUACAGAAGCCAUCACUGCUUUUAAUUGCUUGUUAGUUUAUUCCAUUGUCCAGAACAAAAGCUUUCACAGAGAAGACAGUUUCCACUUUGUUAUAAAUCAUGUAAGAAACUUGUAAAAGCCAGACUGUAGCAUGUGAACUGCUUAAAGGAAGAAAAUUCUAAUCACAUCUGUCCCAUGCUGGCAACAUGAACCUUGGUUCCCCUAAUUAGGGAUUCUUUACAGAAAUAUAUGGCAAAUCUAUUUCAGUCUGAAAACCCUGAGAUUUAAUAGGCUGUUUCUGUUUGCUCUUUACACAGGGAACAGAGGGAAGAGCAGCAAAAUAUUCUCAACAUUUUUGUUUACCAGAAGCAAUUAAUUUGAAUAUGGAGAUUUGGAAUUCCAGAUGAAAAGAUGUGAAGAUCACAAUCUUUCUUUAAUUGUGUGUUUUCCUGAUGGUGUUCUUGAAGUAAAUGGGAGAAUCAUAUGUUCUCCUGACUGUUCUCAUAAGAAUGGCAGCACCACCUUGCAAUAAUGAAUGCCAAGUCUAAGGAUAUGUCAUUUAACAGCCUGGAGUCUAACCAUCCCUCCCUUUAUGCACAAAGACAUGCACAGCACUUAAGCUGACACAUCUUACCUAUUUUGUCAUUCCAGUAGGAAAACCCAGAGAAAGCUGGCGGGAAGGACUCAAAACUACUGCUAAAAAGGAACACCAGGGACAGCUGGGAUGAACUCCUGUACUCAGGCCCAAAACCUGAUCAUCCUGAGAUUGUAUCUAUUCCUUAAGCAUUCCUUGCUGUUUCCUUUAACAUAUCGUGCCUUCUAGUAUUUGCAGUUAAGAGGCCUUUCAAGAUACAGAUCUCAGGAUUCUGAGAUUUUGGUAUCUCUCAUAUCUGGACACCUCAAAUUUACUGCUAAAGAAGAUGUCUUGCCAAGGAGAGCAUGGAUUAGUGCUCAAUCUGCAGUUCUGGAUACUCUUAGCUCUGUCACAGGCUUAUUUCAAGAACUGAACAGCAAAUUCCUAGUAUUUAUUCCUGAAUUCUGCUAGACCCAGGGAAGCAUCCUCUAGAUAUUUCCAGCAAUGUUGGCCCAGUCUGGCAGAAUAUGCCCUCUCAGAGUAGUAGGCAGCUCAUGGCAAGGAGUUUGAGCAGCAGAAAAUGAAGUUUUGGGGCUGAAUUUAUAAAUCAAACACAUUUACAAUGUAUAUGCACUUUCAUGUACACUAUAGGUCAGGAAAAGAAUUCCCACUAUUUUCUUACCGUAAUGGCUGCUUUAAAGUUUUCCAGUUCCUUCUCAGCAUUCUCUUCAGUAAGAUUUCUCUCUCUCUCUGCCUGCUGAAUUCUAGAUUCCAAUGUAUAACUAUCAUUUCUAAAGGCCAAGGAGAGUUGUACAAAUACAUUCUGUUUGGAUUAAAAAAGGCAUUUUCCAAUAAGUCUCACAGUAAUAUAAUUUUCAAUAACAACUUAUGACUAAGGUAUGUGAUUAACAAACUUUGCUGCUUAAAUAAAUUUUGGAACAGAAAAUUGAAAGCAUUUUUAAAUUAGCUUUCUUUGAAAAAUCACUUCUAUUUACUACCACUGAAAUAGGAAUAAUAAAUGCAUUACUGCCUCUUUUUCUGGAUGUUUUUCUGGGAGCUCUGUAGGGCAGAGACAUAAUGAAGGAAGCAGCCUACCAGAAGCAUCAGAAUCACAAUGGAUCUGUUUUCUAGCUGGACUUCCUCCAAGGGUCCCCAAGGUUUUUAAACAGAUAGUCUGUGCAGAGGAAGUCCAGGGAUGAGCUCACCAUGAGCAUUGUUUUACCUAAGGGAUAAACACCUACCCCUGAAGCCAGCAAAAGAUUAAAUGCUAACAUGUUUAUUCUCUUGCACCCUGCUUUUAAAGAUGGUUUCUUUCUUUACCAGACUCAUUAUUUCUUAGGAUUAAUACUUUGCAAAGCACAAGGCUCCAACAGUUCCAGUAGAUUGCAGCAUUGUAAAUAAAGAUAUUUUCUGGACUGAUAUGUGAUUAAAAUAAUACAAGAAACAAAACCUACAAGCUAAUGAGUAAGCUGCAAACAAAAUUAUUGUCUUGAACUGAGAAAGUAAAAAUUAUGUAAACAGCAGGAUAUUAUUAAAAAAUGCCCCAAAGCUCAUAUUGGCUAAUAAAAAUGCAAUUUAAGCUGCUUA